rnacentral:rRNA from 1 species
GAUGAACGCUGGCGGCGUGCUUAACACAUGCAAGUCGAACGAUGAAGCCCAGCUUGCUGGGUGGAUUAGUGGCGAACGGGUGAGUAACACGUGAGUAACCUGCCCUUGACUCUGGGAUAAGCCUGGGAAACUGGGUCUAAUACUGGAUAUGACUUCUCAUCGCAUGGUGGGGGGUGGAAAGAUUUAUUGGUCUUGGAUGGGCUCGCGGCCUAUCAGCUUGUUGGUGAGGUAAUGGCUCACCAAGGCGACGACGGGUAGCCGGCCUGAGAGGGUGACCGGCCACACUGGGACUGAGACACGGCCCAGACUCCUACGGGAGGCAGCAGUGGGGAAUAUUGCACAAUGGGCGCAAGCCUGAUGCAGCGACGCCGCGUGAGGGAUGACGGCCUUCGGGUUGUAAACCUCUUUCAGUAGGGAAGAAGCGAGAGUGACGGUACCUGCAGAAGAAGCGCCGGCUAACUACGUG